GAAGCCCCGAGCGUUGUCGGAUUCAUUGGGCGUAAAGGGUGCGUAGGCGGCGCCGGAAAGUCCGGCCGUGAAAGGCAGAGGCUCAACCUCUGGACUGCGUUGGAUACUUCCGUGCUUGAGGACUGGAGGGGAGACUGGAAUUCACGGUGUAGCAGUGAAAUGCGUAGAUAUCGUGAGGAAGACCGGUGGCGAAGGCGAGUCUCUGGACAGAUCCUGACGCUGAGGCACGAAGGCUGGGGGAGCGAACAGGAUUAGAUACCCUGGUAGUCCCAGCAGUAAACGAUGUGAGCUUGAUGUGGGGGGAUUCGACCCCUUCCGUGUCGAAGCUAACGCGAUAAGCUCACCGCCUGAGGAGUACGGCCGCAAGGCUAAAACUCAAAGAAAUUGACGGGGACCCGCACAAGCGGUGGAGUAUGUGGCUUAAUUCGAUGCAACGCGAAGAACCUUACCUGGCCUUGACAUGCAUUGUGUCGUCGGUGAAAGCCGGCUAGUCCUGGAAACAGGACGCUUUGCACAGGUGCUGCAUGGCUGUCGUCAGCUCGUGUCGUGAGAUGUUGGGUUAAGUCCCGCAACGAGCGCAACCCUUGUGGUCGGUUACUAACCGGCUUAGCCGGAGGACUCUGGCCAGACUGCCCUGUCAAACGGGGAGGAAGGUGGGGACGACGUCAAGUCAGUAUGGCCCUUAUGGCCAGGGCUGCACACGUACUACAAUGCCCGGUACAAUGUGAACCGAAACCGCGAGGUGGAGGAAAUCGCUCUUGAAAACCGGGCCCAGUUCGGAUUGGAGUCUGCAACUCGACUCCAUGAAGUCGGAAUCGCUAGUAAUGGCGUAUCAGCAACGACGCCGUGAAUACGUUCCCGGGUCUUGUACACACCGCCCGUCACAUCAUGGAAGUCUCCUGUACCCGAAGCACGUGCGCCAACCUUUUAGGAGGCAGCGUUCGAAGGUAUGGGAGCUAACCUGGGAUGAAGUCG
rnacentral:rRNA from 1 species